UACGGGGGGGGCAAGCGUUGUUCGGAAUUACUGGGCGUAAAGGGCUUGUAGGCGGCCAACUAAGUCAGACGUGAAAUCCCUCGGCUUAACCGGGGAACUGCGUCUGAUACUGGAUGGCUUGAGUGUGGGAGAGGGAUGCGGAAUUCCAGGUGUAGCGGUGAAAUGCGUAGAUAUCUGGAGGAACACCGGUGGCGAAGGCGGCAUCCUGGACCACGACUGACGCUGAGUGAGCGAAAGCCAGGGGAGCAAACGGG
rnacentral:rRNA from 1 species